AUUGAACGCUGGCGGCAUGCCUUACACAUGCAAGUCGGACGGCAGCACGGGAGCAAUCCUGGUGGCGAGUGGCGAACGGGUGAGUAAUAUAUCGGAACGUGCCCAGUAGUGGGGGAUAACUGCUCGAAAGAGCAGCUAAUACCGCAUACGACCUGAGGGUGAAAGGGGGGGAUCGCAAGACCUCUCGCUAUUGGAGCGGCCGACAUCAGAUUAGCUAGUUGGUGGGGUAAAGGCCUACCAAGGCAACGAUCUGUAGUUGGUCUGAGAGGACGACCAGCCACACUGGGACUGAGACACGGCCCAGACUCCUACGGGAGGCAGCAGUGGGGAAUUUUGGACAAUGGGCGCAAGCCUGAUCCAGCAAUGCCGCGUGCAGGAAGAAGGCCUUCGGGUUGUAAACUGCUUUUGUCAGGGAAGAAAUCCUCUAGGUUAAUACCCUUGGGGGGAUGACGGUACCUGAAGAAUAAGCACCGGCUAACUCCGUGCCAGCCGCCGCAGUAAGAC
rnacentral:rRNA from 1 species